UAGUUGCUAAAUACGGUGCUGAUGCGUU
rnacentral:sRNA from 1 species